UACGUAGGGCGCAAGCGGUAUCCGGAAUUAUUGGGCGUAAAGAGCUCGUAGGCGGUUUGUCGCGUCUGCCGUGAAAGUCCGGGGCUCAACUCCGGAUCUGCGGUGGGUACGGGCAGACUAGAGUGAUGUAGGGGAGACUGGAAUUCCUGGUGUAGCGGUGAAAUGCGCAGAUAUCAGGAGGAACACCGGUGGCGAAGGCGGGUCUCUGGGCAACAACUGACGCUGAGGAGCGAAAGCGUGGGGAGCGAACAGG
rnacentral:rRNA from 1 species